UAUCACUCUACCAUCCAUGUCUCGUCGCCUCGCAGUAUAUUUUUGUGUUUUGUUUGGUUUGAAACUCAAAUCACAGGAUUAUACUGUGAGAUGCCAAGCGUGUCAGCAGCUGAAACAGUG
rnacentral:precursor_RNA from 15 species